rnacentral:rRNA from 1 species
AUGUCCUCCAGUUCGGCCACUCCAGUAUCAAUUAUCAAGCUUUUCUCCGCCUCCUGCCGGCCCCCGCCUCUCCGGUGCGGCCCUGAUGCCGCCACCGCCGACUGGGUCCUCCUGGAGCCGCUGGCGUACGUCGCUGACCGCACCAACGCCACCACCGCCGAAGCCAUCUCGAGCACCGGCUACACCAUCCAGGCCACCUUCUGCGCCGCCGACCCGCCGGAUGUCUCCUGCGUGUGCAUCCACUGCCCGGGCAUCGAGGAGGCCGACUUCCCGGAGAGGCCCCGCAUAAUCUGCUCCCACAAGGACCUCCUCCUGCUCUGGGUCACCUUCAAAUUCGGCCCCUACGACGAGGACGGGCUCCGCGAGCACUUCGUCUACAAAGCCGGACCCGGGCGGCCGUCACUCCACCUACUCCCAGAUCCCCUCCCGUUCGUCGCCAGAGCCUGGGAGGUCGGCCUCGUGCCCCACGGCGACGACGGCCAUUUCCUGCUCGCCGCCCUCUGCUUCACGCAGACGCCUUGGGUCUACGACCUCUCUUCUCGUCUACGUCAUGGGCUUGGAGCACCAAGGUGGCUUCAGCAGACAUGCCAGACAAGGGGGAUUUUGCUCUACAAUGUGCUCGACGAGGUGCCUGUGGUGCAGGUGAUUCAGUUGCCUAUGCUGAUGCCUGGCAAUAAGGCUGGUCUUGGAGUAUGUCCGUGGAACAUUCGCGACAUUGCGUGCGGCGAUGGCUUGAUUAAACUUGUUGAGGUGGAAACUUAUGAAAGACCGGUUGAUGAUGAAACGGCAUAUCAUGAUGACAUGCUUGUAGUUUAUGAUUCAGAUCUUUUGGCAGAGCAGCCGGUGCGGGACAAUGUUGGUUGGAGGAUCAUAACGUGGUAUAGGAUGACUUCUUGGAACUAUUGGCGUAAGGAGUGCAUGCAUCAUGAUGAGGAAAUAUCCGUUGACCACUCCAGGCAUCAGAUCGGCGAUGGAGGCGGAGAAUUAUUAGCUUUGAAGAAUUUGUCUGCGUCUUUCCCUGUUCUGAGCUUAAACUGUCACUGUGAUGAUACUGUUUACCUGCUACAUGAAGCAGCUGAUAAAUCUGGCACCGUUUUCUAUCGGAGGAUAUUUCAGUCCAGCUUACCCAUGUCAGUUAUCCAAAUAUCUGAAAGGCACUCUAGCUUCUGCUGGGUCACGCAGUUAAGAAAUACUACAAAUGCUGCAUACAUGGCAACAGCUAAGUACAGUUUUCUUUUCACGAUCACUUGUAAGGGGGGAGGGGGUUUAUAUAACUUCUACAGGCAAGAUACAGAUUACAGGAGGAAGCUAUGUGCAGGGUUGAGCUUCUAUGUUAUUGCGGGUUUUCAGCUCUUGACAUGGGCCUCAGGUAUCCAGCAGCUACUGGAUUCUGGCGUGGAUGCUCUGUAUGGUGGCGAGCUGCAGGCUAGAAUUAGCUUUGCGUGCAGUGGUUUGCUAUGUCAGUCCUACAUUAAUCUUGGGCAAUAUUGCAGACAAGUGAGGCAAAUAGGCUUGUGCUUAUGCAAGGGCCACAGCUGA